GGAAAAAAAAAAAAAAAAAAAAAAAAAAAAAAAAAAAAAAA
rnacentral:ribozyme from 12 species